UGGUGGCGAUAGCGAAGAGGUCACACCCGUUCCCAUGCCGAACACGGAAGUUAAGCUCUUCAGCGCCGAUGGUAGUUGGGGGCUUCCCCCUGUGAGAGUAGGACGCCGCCAAGCA
rnacentral:rRNA from 3 species